CUUGUUGCAAAAAAUUUAUUAGGUAGUAAUAAAUAAGAAAUUAGCAGAAAGAACUAUACAGCAAUAAGGCAUAUUAAUAGUACUGUUGAAUAUGCAACUGACACAUUUGAACAUAUUUCCUCUAGUUUUCUAACUGAGAUAAAGACAUACAAAAUGAAAUAUAAUCCUUUGUAAAUAAAAGCUUGGUGGCUUUGUAACAAUAGCAAUGGAAAGGAUCUUAGGUAUUUCAUAAUAAUCAGCCCAAACCAGACUAGUGGUUGCUGACGUAACAACAAAACUUUCCAAACCUAAAGAGCCCAACCAAAAGAACAUAAUAAGGAUCCUUGUAUAAGAUAAAUCGUUGUAGCUGACAGAGUUUUAGAACCUUAUGACCUUUGUACAGAAUUUACUGUAAGCAAAACAGGACUGUAUAUCUGAAACUAGCAGACGUUCAGGAGGUGCUGUAGCUAAGUUAACUGAUAAAUAGAAGGCCAGGGAGAAAUCACUCACUUAUGUCAGCACUGUUACCGAACCAAUUAAGCUGGUGUAAGCAUUUGGCUACUGUGCAUGCUUCAAAGACCACCAGAACAAGAGUUCAAGGAACGGCCAAGUAAGUGAUGAAGAUUGUUGGAAGAAGUAAAACGACCACCAAAGACCACUACCACCUUGUUAUGCGCAUGCAAAAAUAGGCGUGGAAUUAUGUAAAACGAUUCUCGGACAACUAAUGAAUAUGUAUGACGUUUAUUGGAAAUGUAAUGAAUAAGUAUGUUAAGCAACAAUAUAAUCACGGUCUGUUCGAUGCUUAAACGGGACACAUGAGGAGGAGCUAUCCCCUGUGUCUCCCAGCGCCGCAAUAAAGAAUACCUGCUUGUCAACUUGAACUUUGUUAUGGUUCAUAGAACACAAUAAGAACUUGCCAACAAAGUGCUACGUAGAGAAGUGUAUUUCUGAUGCCAUUGCCAAGUGAUAGCAAAGAUGGCUGCACUAUGAAGGACCUGACUGUUUUAUUAUUUACCUUAACUAUAACGCUCCAUGAAGAGUUACUGUUAUUUACACCAGUGAAGUUCAAGUAAAAAAGUAUAGCUAAGAAGAUUACAAAAUGUCUCCUGUUCACUUUUCUUAACUGCUUACUACUUUAAUUUCUUAAACUGCACUUGCUAGUUGUAAGCUAUGAGUAAAGUUACUACACAAGAGCACAGCUUCUAACAUUCAUUUGAACUUUUAUUUGAAAACUUAGAGCCAAGUGCUAAUUUUCAUUGUUUUAAGAAAACCUUUUUUACAAAAUAUUGCACACUGGUUUAGCAUGCAGUUUACAUGGAAGAAACAGUCAAGUGCAUUUAAAACCCUGAAAUACAACCAGAAAUUUCAAAGAGUUGUGUUAU
rnacentral:lncRNA from 1 species